UCCCGAGAUUGGAGUCACGGCGCGUUCACGGGACAACAACAAAACUGGAGCGGAAAAUCAAGGCACACGCGGUAGCGGUUUGUUUCCCCCGUUUUUGGCUCAUGGGGAUUAAUGCUACCUGUAACGACCUAACCGAAUCGGGAAGACAUGCACAAAAGGUCAAAAAGGUCGUUAAAAGAGCGGAUACGACGGAGAGUCGAUGGCGCGCUCCAAAAGACAGGGUUAGUGGGGUUUCUGUUUAGCGACAGAUUUCCCAUUGGGUUGUCGAUAUUGAUUGGUUGUGAUGUUGUUGUUUGCCGAGUUGUUUUUCCCGAGCAUCUUGUUCCCAGAAACUCCCAAAUGCACACCGCAUUGAAAGUAUGCAUUUGUGUGCAUUGAUCGCAACUACAAGGCCUAUUCUUAUCUGGUAUACCAGACUAUUCGGCUGCGUGAUACUGAUACAGGGGCGAAUCCAAAAAGAUAUGGGAAGAAUAAAAAAAAGGAAAAUAACUAAAACAGCAUUAAAAAAAAGUCUCGGAAGUCUAUAUAGGCCGCGCAUUACCGCGUAAGUUGGUAAGCCAGGAAGAAGAAGAAGAAGAAGAAGAAGAAGAAGAAGAAGAAGAAGAAGAAGAAGAAGAAGAAGAAGAAGAAGAAGAAGAACAAGAACAAAAAGAAGAACAAGAAGAAGAAGAAGAAGAAGAAGAAGAAGAAGAAGAAGAAGAAGAAGAAGAAGAAGAAGAACAAGAACAAAAAGAAGAACAAGAAGAAGAAGAAGAAGAAGAAGAAGAAGAAGAAGAAGAAGAAGAAGAAGAAGAAGAAGAAGAAGAAGAAGAAGAAGAAGCUUUUAUAUUUCCAGGGUUUUCCUUACCUGGAUUUCGAAUGCUUCUCAAUAUUCUGUUGAACUCGUGCCUCGAUUUAUUGAGCGUUUUCCAUAAAUGUUUUGUUUCAAUUUGUUUGUCAAAUUUGUUUCAAAAAUGCCUGAACAAUGGAAAUAAAUUGUAAGCGCGGUGAAACAAAAUAUGUAGAAAAUAACGAAAAAAUCAUGGGACGAAAGAAAAAAUACAAUCCAGAAGCAAUAAAAAAACGUGUAAAUACUGUCAGAACCGACCGAGCUGUUAGUUCUCAAACAUCUUAAGGAUGGUUCCUAGUAUCCUAGUACUGAAGCUUUUUCCUCAUACUCAUUUUUUCCUCAAUAAACAAACCUUCUUGAGCAGUAUUUCCCUUCCUAGAAAUUUAUCAGUAUCAACCGAAAAUAAAAACAAAACUAUGUAUGUUCAAAAUACGAACAUCGAACCAUA